rnacentral:misc_RNA from 1 species
GCUCCGUUGGUGAACCAGCGGAGGGAUCAUUACAGAGUUGCAAAACUCCAAGCCAUUGUGAACGUUACCUAUCCCGUUGCUUCGGCGGGCGGCCCGGGCCCCGCGCCCGGCGCCCCCCGGCCCCCCGUGGGCGCCCGCCGGAGGUAAACCAAACCCUUGAAUUGCAUGGCCUCUCUGAGUCUUCUGUACUGAAUAAGUCAAAACUUUCAACAACGGAUCUCUUGGUUCUG